rnacentral:lncRNA from 1 species
UCAGACCGCACCAUAAAUGGCUGCCUACGUACUCCUAUUGAAGAGGAGAUCAGGUCUGCAUAGUUCGAACCUGGUGUAAGAGGUUCAACGCUGAAUGUGUAAGGGUAGAAAGGUGUAGAAAUGUUUUUGUUAUUUUUGUUUAUGUAGAGAAAGGGUAGAAAUGUUUUUGUUGUUUUUAUUUUUAUAGAGAAAGGGCAGAAAUGUUUUUAUUUUUUUUAUUGCGACCGGGCCAUAUAAAAUAUGGUUGCCUAUGUACUCCCGGGUAUCAGGGAGAUCAGGUCAACGUAGUUCGCCCCGGCGAGAUGAAACCUGACUGACGUAAAAAAAAAUUCUUCUUUUUUUCUUUUUUUCUUUUUUCUCUUUUUUUUCUUUCUUUUUUUUCUUUCUUCUUCUUUUUUUAUUUUUUCUUUUAUUUUUUCUUUUAUUUUUUCUUUUAUUUUUUCUUUUUUUUUCUUUUUUUU